UACGUAGGGGGCAAGCGUUGUCCGGAAUCAUUGGGCGUAAAGCGCGUGUAGGCGGCUGAGUAAGUCUGCUCUGAAAGCCCGGGGCUCAACCCCGGGAGGCGGGUGGAUACUGCUCAGCUCGAGUCCGGAAGAGGAGUGUGGAAUUCCUGGUGUAGCGGUGAAAUGCGCAGAUAUCAGGAGGAACACCAAUGGCGAAGGCAGCACUCUGGGACGGUACUGACGCUGAGGUGCGAAAGCGUGGGGAGCAAACAGG
rnacentral:rRNA from 1 species